rnacentral:lncRNA from 1 species
ACCAGAGGCUGGGUCUAAUUAGUUGAGAAGCAGUGACACCCCCAACCACUCCCCAAACAGGCUGGCUCCCGUCUCCAGGCCCCAAGGAGCCACACCUGGACCAGACCCCAGGAAAGGCAAGGGCGCUAGCUGGUGGGAGCCACCCCGCCAUGCUGAUGUCAGAGAAGCAAGAACUCUGGAGAAGCAGCCUCCUGGGACCAGAGGAGGGCCAGCAGCAGGCAGCCCGGAGACAGAACUCUCACCCACGCCUCUCCAAGCCUCCCAACAGAAGACAGAGGUCCCCCACAGCCAGAGACAUUUCCUGAAGACAUGGGGAACACAGAGGCAGAAACAGCCCAUCCACCCAGGAGCUGUCCCCCACACUGCCGGGAGCCGGCACCCAGAGCCGCCAGGUAAAACUGAGGCCACCUGGUUCAACAUCACCUUUCACAGAAGGGGAAGCAGCCACAGAAAGAAGGGCCUCGUUAAGAAGUGGAACCUGGGACCCCCAAGCGGUGUCUCUCAUCCUGACUGGGGAUCCAGAGUAGGAGGGAGCCUUUGGUGGGGUAAGUGGAAUGGGGCGGGGUGGGGGGUGGCCAUAGACCCCUCUUCUCAGUAAGGCCCUCAUGUGAA